rnacentral:rRNA from 1 species
AGAGUUUGAUCCUGGCUCAGAAUCAACGCUGGCGGCGUGCCUAACACAUGCAAGUCGAACGAGAAAGGGGCUUCGGCCCUAAGUACAGUGGCGCACGGGUGAGUAACACGUGACUAACCUACCCUGGAGUGGGGAAUAACUUCGAGAAAUCGAGGCUAAUACCGCAUAAUACCUACGGGUCAAAGGAGCAAUUCGCUUUGGGAGGGGGUCGCGGCAGAUUAGCUAGUUGGCGGGGUAAUGGCCCACCAAGGCAGUGAUCUGUAUCCGGCCUGAGAGGGCGCACGGACACACUGGAACUGAAACACGGUCCAGACUCCUACGGGAGGCAGCAGUGGGGAAUUUUGCGCAAUGGGGGAAACCCUGACGCAGCAACGCCGCGUGGAGGAUGAAGUCUCUUGGGACGUAAACUCCUUUCGACCGGGACGAUAAUGACGGUACCGGAAGAAGAAGCCCCGGCUAACUUCGUGCCAGCAGCCGCGGUAAUACGAGGGGGGCAAGCGUUGUUCGGAAUUAUUGGGCGUAAAGGGUGCGUAGGCGGCCCCGCAAGUCCUGUGUGAAAUCCACAAGCUCAACUUGUGGCCUGCACGGGAAACUGCUGGGCUGGAGUGUGGGAGAGGUGAGUGGAAUUCCCGGUGUAACGGUGAAAUGCGUAGAUAUCGGGAGGAACACCUGUGGCGAAAGCGGCUCACUGGACCACAACUGACGCUGAGGCACGAAAGCUAGGGGAGCAAACAGGAUUAGAUACCCUGGUAGUCC